UACGUAGGGCGCGAGCGUUGUCCGGAAUUAUUGGGCGUAAAGAGCUCGUAGGCGGCCUGUUGCGUCCGCUGUGAAAUCCCAGGGCUCAACCCUGGGCGUGCAGUGGAUACGGGCAGGCUGGAGGCAGGCAGGGGAGAACGGAAUUCCCGGUGUAGCGGUGAAAUGCGCAGAUAUCGGGAGGAACACCGGAUGGCGAAGGCGCAGCCCCUGGGUUGAAC
rnacentral:rRNA from 1 species